CUCAUACAUCCUUGAGCUUCUUACAACCCCUUUUAAGGAAGAGAACCAUCACUUUUUUUUGUUCAGAAAAUGCAUUAUUUGGCCUAGGAAACCAUCCUGUUAAAGAGAAAAGACGCAGCUAUUAGGUUCCUUGCUUGUCUGGGAGUUCAGUGUUUUUCACCCAGAGGUCCCAUUGCUGAAUGUCUGGGGACAUUUUUGGUUGUCUCAAAUGGAAAGGUGCUGUUAGCAUCAAGUGAGCAGAAGCCAGGCAGGCUGCUAAAGAUCCUUCGAUGCACAGGACAAGAUGGGAAGAGACACGU